UGCAUGUACCUGAAGAAUAAGGACCGGCUAAUUCCGUGCCAGCAGCCGCGGUAAUACGGAAGGUCCGGGCGUUAUCCGGAUUUAUUGGGUUUAAAGGGAGCGCAGGCGGCCUUUUAAGCGUGUUGUGAAAUGUAGUGGCUCAACCUCUGCACUGCAGCGCGAACUGGAGGGCUUGAGUACGCGGGAAGUAGGCGGAAUUCGUCGUGUAGCGGUGAAAUGCUUAGAUAUGACGAAGAACUCCGAUUGCGAAGGCAGCCUACUGUAGCGUUACUGACGCUAAAGCUCGAAAGUGUGGGUAUCGAACAGGAUUAGAUACCCUG
rnacentral:rRNA from 1 species